AUUGAACGCUGGCGGCAUGCCUUACACAUGCAAGUCGAACGGCAGCACGGACUUCGGUCUGGUGGCGAGUGGCGAACGGGUGAGUAAUGUAUCGGAACGUACCUUUCAGUGGGGGAUAACGUAGCGAAAGUUACGCUAAUACCGCAUAUUCUGUGAGCAGGAAAGCAGGGGAUCGCAAGCACUUGCGCUGAUUGAGCGGCCGAUGUCAGAUUAGCUAGUUGGUGAUGUAAAGGCUCACCAAGGCGACGAUCUGUAGCGGGUCUGAGAGGAUGAUCCGCCACACUGGAACUGAGACACGGUCCAGACUCCCACGGGAGGCAGCAGUGGGGAAUUUUGGACAAUGGGGGCAACCCUGAUCCAGCCAUGCCGCGUGAGUGAAGAAGGCCUUCGGGUUGUAAAGCUCUUUCGGCCGGGAAGAAAUCGCACGGGCUAAUACCCUGUGUGGAUGACGGUACCGGAAUAAGAAGCACCGGCUAACUACGUGCCAGCAGCCGCCGUAAUAC
rnacentral:rRNA from 1 species